rnacentral:rRNA from 1 species
UACAGAGGUCCCGAGCGUUGUUCGGAUUCAUUGGGCGUAAAGGGUGCGUAGGCGGUCUUCUAAGUUUGAUGUGAAAUCCCGGGGCUUAACCCUGGAAUUGCAUUGAAUACUGGAGGACUUGAGUCCCGGAGAGGAAACUGGAAUUUACGGUGUAGCAGUGAAAUGCGUAGAGAUCGUAAGGAAGACCAGUGGCGAAGGCGAGUUUCUGGACGGGUACUGACGCUGAGGCACGAAGGCCAGGGGAGCAAACGGG